rnacentral:rRNA from 1 species
AACGAACGCUGGCGGCAUGCCUAACACAUGCAAGUCGAACGAACCCUUCGGGGUUAGUGGCGCACGGGUGCGUAACGCGUGGGAAUCUGCCCUUGGCUUCGGAAUAACAGUUAGAAAUGACUGCUAAUACCGGAUGAUGUCUUCGGACCAAAGAUUUAUCGGCCAGGGAUGAGCCCGCGUAGGAUUAGGUAGUUGGUGGGGUAAAGGCCUACCAAGCCGAUGAUCCUUAGCUGGUCUGAGAGGAUGAUCAGCCACACUGGGACUGGGACACGGCCCGGACUCCUACGGGAGGCAGCAGUGGGGAAUAUUGGACAAUGGGCGCAAGCCUGAUCCAGCAAUGCCGCGUGAGUGAUGAAGGCCUUAGGGUCGUAAAGCUCUUUUACCCGGGAUGAUAAUGACAGUACCGGGAGAAUAAGCUCCGGCUAACUCCGUGCCAGCCGCCGCAGUAA